rnacentral:rRNA from 1 species
CUACGGGAGGCUGCAGCUGCGAAUUUUUUACAAUGCACGCAAGUGUGAUAAAGCGAGCCAAAGUGCUAUUCUAUUUUUAUGAAUAGCUUUUAUUCAGUUUAAAAAACUGGAUGAAUAAGGACUGGGAAAGAUCGGUGCCAGCCGCCGCGGUAAUACCGACAGUUCAAGUUGCAUCCACUUUUAUUGGGUCUAAAACAUCCGUAGCUUGUUAUUUAAGUCUCUUGUGAAAUCUCACGUCUCAAGCGUGAGGCUUGCAGGAGAUACUGGAUAGCUAGAGACCGGUAGACGUAAGGAGUACGGGCAAGGUAGUGGUUAAAUACGUUAAUCUUGCUUGGACUAACAAUUUAGCGAAGGCACCUUACGAGGACGGAUCUGACAGUGAGGGAUGAAGGCCAGGGGCGCAAAACGGAUUAGAUACCCUUGUAGUC